GUGUAGGUGGAAGCAGCGGUGGAGGAGGAGGAUGUGGUAGCCAACACUGUUUUUUAUAUGUAUAUAUAUAUAUAUUUUUUUUUAAUUGGGGUAGCCCCCAAAAUAUUGGGACAUAUAAUAAAAGACAACUCUGUUCCGCAGAGUAGCUGUUGACAUUAUAGUUGCGCAGGCACUUUGCUGACUCUAGAGAACCUCGGGCAAUCGCACAUCCCCGUGGCGGCGACUUUGCAUGCAGAUGUCAUCCAUAUCAACUUUCGAUGCCAGUUUCUGCGCCUACCAUGGUGACCACGGGUAACGGGGAAUCAGGGUUCCAUUCCAUACAGGGACCCUGAGAAAUGGCUACCUCAUGCAAGGAAGGCAGCAGGCGCGCAAAUGACCCACUCCCGACGCGGGAAGGA